rnacentral:rRNA from 1 species
GACGAACGCUGGCGGCGUGCCUAAUACAUGCAAGUCGAGCGGACCUCUUCGGAGGUCAGCGGCGGACGGGUGAGUAACACGUGGGCAACCUGCCUGUCAGACUGGGAUAACUUCGGGAAACCGGAGCUAAUACCGGAUAAUCCUUUCCUUCUCAUGUGGGAAAGCUGAAAGACGGCGCAAGCUGUCACUUACAGAUGGGCCCGCGGCGCAUUAGCUAGUUGGUGGGGUAACGGCCCACCAAGGCGACGAUGCGUAGCCGACCUGAGAGGGUGAUCGGCCACACUGGGACUGAGACACGGCCCAGACUCCUACGGGAGGCAGUAGUAGGGAAUCUUCCGCAAUGGACGAAAGUCUGACGGAGCAACGCCGCGUGAGCGAAGAAGGCCUUCGGGUCGUAAAGCUCUGUUGUCAGGGAAGAACAAGUACCGGAGUAACUGCCGGUACCCUGACGGUACCUGACCAGAAAGCCACGGCUAACUACGUGCCAGCCGCCGCUGUAAUAC